rnacentral:rRNA from 1 species
UACGUAGGGGGCAAGCGUUGUCCGGAUUUAUUGGGCGUAAAGAGCGUGUAGGCGGCCAGGUAGGUCCGUUGUGAAAACUCGAGGCUCAACCUCGAGACGUCGAUGGAAACCAUCUAGCUAGAGUCCGGAAGAGGAGAGUGGAAUUCCUGGUGUAGCGGUGAAAUGCGCAGAUAUCAGGAAGAACACCCGUGGCGAAGGCGGCUCUCUGGUACGUGACUGACGCUGAGACGCGAAAGCGUGGGGAGCGAACAGG